rnacentral:misc_RNA from 1 species
GAUGAAGAACGCAGCGAAAUGCGAUAAGUAGUGUGAAUUGCAGAAUUCAGUGAAUCAUCGAAUCUUUGAACGCACAUUGCGCCCCUUGGUAUUCCAUGGGGCAUGCCUGUUCGAGCGUCAUCUACACCCUCAAGCUCUGCUUGGUGUUGGGCGUCUGUCCCGCCCCCGCGCGUGGACUCGCCACAAAUCCAUUGGCAGCGUUCCUUGCCCCCUCUCGCGCAGCACAUUGCGCUUCUCGAGGGCGGCUCCGGGCCGCGAUCCAGCAAGAUGACCACCGUCUUUGACCUCGGAUCAGGUAGGGAUACCCGCUGAACUUAAGCAUAUCAAUAAGCGGAGGA